rnacentral:rRNA from 1 species
AGCGAACGCUGGCGGCAGGCCUAACACAUGCAAGUCGAACGAACUCUUCGGAGUUAGUGGCGGACGGGUGAGUAACACGUGGGAACGUGCCUUUAGGUUCGGAAUAACUCAGGGCAACUUGUGCUAAUACCGAAUGUGCCCUUCGGGGGAAAGAUUUAUCGCCUUUAGAGCGGCCCGCGUCUGAUUAGCUCGUUGGUUGGGGUAAUGGCCCACCAAGGCGACGAUCAGUAGCUGGUCUGAGAGGAUGACCAGCCACAUUGGGACUGAAACACGGCCCAAACUCCUACGGGAGGCAGCAGUGGGGAAUCUUGCGCAAUGGGCGAAAGCCUGACGCAGCCAUGCCGCGUGUAUGAUGAAGGUCUUAGGAUUGUAAAAUACUUUCACCGGUGAAGAUAAUGACUGUAGCCGGAUAAGAAGCCCCGGCUAACUUCGUGCCAGCCGCCGCAGUAAAAC